GGUGAACGCUGGCGGCGCAUUUAAGACAUGCAAGUCGAACGAAAACGAACAAAUUAAGAAGAAUGGAAGAUUUAUCUGAAAUGAUUUUUAGACCGUAAGUUUUAGUGGCGGACGGGUGAGUAAUACAUAGAUAAUCUGCCUUUUAGAGGGAAAUAACUAGGAGAAAUCCAAGCUAAUGUCCCAUAAGACCACAUUAUCGCAUGAUAGAGAGGUCAAAGGAGAAAUCCGCUAAAAGAUGAGUCUAUGGCUGAUUAGUUAGUUGGUGGGGUAAGAGCUUACCAAGACGAUGAUCAGUAGCCGAGCUGAGAGGCUGGCCGGCCACAUUGGGACUGAGACACGGCCCAG
rnacentral:rRNA from 1 species